UUCCGGUUGAUCCUGCCGGACCCCACUGCUAUCGGGAUAGGACUAAGACAUGCUAGUCAAGCGCUUUCUAGCUAAUGUGAGAGCGCGGCGUACAGCUCAGUAACACGUGGCCAACCUGCCCUUGGGACGGGAACACCCCCGGGAAACUGGGGUUAAUUCCCGAUAGGUGAAGAAGUCUGGAAUGAUUCUUCGCUCAAAAGACGUUUAUGUCAUGCUCAUAUUCGUCGCCCAGGGAUGGGGCCGCGACCGAUCAGAUAGUUGGUGAGGCAAUGGCUCACCAAGCCUUUUACCGGUGCGGGCCGUGAGAGCGGGAGCCCGGAGAUGGGCACUGAGACAAGGGCCCAGGCCCCACGGGGCGCAGCAGUCGCGAAAAUUUUGCAAUACACGAAAGUGUGACAGAGCUAUCCCAAGUGCCAUCCGCUGAGGAAGGCUUUUACCCAGUAUAAAUAGCUGGGAGAAUAAGGAGAGGGCAAGUCUGGUGUCAGCCGCCGCGGUAAUACCAGCUCUCCGAGUAGUGUGGACGUUUAUUGGGCCUAAAGCAUCCGUAGCUUGCUAGAUAAGUCCUCUGUUAAAUCCACCGAUUCAAUCGUUGGAUUGCGGGGGAUACUGUUUGGCUAGGGGACGGGAGAGGUCGACGGUAUUUCCGGGGUAGGGGUGAAAUCCUAUAAUCCCGGGAGGACCACCAGUGGCGAAGGCUGUCGACUAGAACGCGCCCGACGGUGAGGGAUGAAAGCUGGGGGAGCGAACCGGAUUAGAUACCCGGGUAGUCCCAGCUGUAAACGAUGCAGGCUAGGUGUUUGGGCGGCCACGAGCCGCCCUAGUGCCGCAGGGAAGCUGUUAAGCCUGCCGCCUGGGGAGUACGGCCGCAAGGCUGAAACUUAAAGGAAUUGGCGGGGGAGCACCACAAGGGGUGAAGCUUGCGGUUUAAUUGGAGUCAACGCCGGG
rnacentral:rRNA from 1 species